rnacentral:rRNA from 1 species
GACGGAGGAUGCAAGCGUUAUCCGGAAUUAUUGGGCGUAAAGCGUACGUAGGCGGCUUAUCAAGUCUGGGGUCAAAGACCACAGCUUAACUGUGGAAAGGCCUUGGAAACUGGUGAGCUGGAGUGAGGUAGGGGUUGCGGGAAUUCCCGGUGUAGCGGUGAAAUGCGUAGAUAUCGGGAAGAACACCUGAGGCGAAAGCGCGCGACUGGGCCUUAACUGACGCUGAGGUACGAAAGCUAGGGGAGCGAACGGG